CAAGUACUGCUUUAUCGAUUCUAUGUGGUUUUUUUUCUUUUACAGUUCUAAUUGUGUCUGUUCCUGGGGGAGGGUGGGCUGAGGAAUUUUAAAACCUCAUCAGCUGUAUCCCCCUCCAUUGUGCCUGCUCAUCAGAUGCUAAAAAAGGUUUCGUGAUCAUAAAGUUCGGGACUAUUUAAAACAAAUUCAGUGUGGAUUUUUAGGUAAUUUCUUACUGAAUUUACCAAUUAUAUCCU
rnacentral:lncRNA from 1 species